GGAAGGAUCUCUUCUGGAGAUUGCCUCUCUUGGUGUUUUGUGGUGAGCCCAGCUGAAGGAUCCUUGUAUCGUGCAAUAGAGGAGUGGACUUGUAAAAAAGAAACUGAGAUAACCCAAUAAAAUCUUUUGAAGCAUUAAAAAGAAGCUUUGGGGAGGCAGAGUGAGAUGUAGGGCUAGCUUCCAAAAGGAGAAUGACUCUUGGAUGAUGGUCACUUCCUGAGAAGUAGUGCUCUAUGGCUAGAGACUCUAUCUGCAGCUGGG